rnacentral:rRNA from 1 species
UACGUAGGGUGCGAGCGUUGUCCGGAAUUAUUGGGCGUAAAGGGCUCGUAGGCGGUUUGUCGCGUCGGGAGUGAAAACUCAGGGCUUAACCCUGAGCCUGCUUCCGAUACGGGCAGACUAGAGGUAUGCAGGGGAGAACGGAAUUCCUGGUGUAGCGGUGAAAUGCGCAGAUAUCAGGAGGAACACCGAUGGCGAAGGCGGUUCUCUGGGCCUGUACUGACGCUGAGGAGCGAAAGCAUGGGGAGCGAACAGG